rnacentral:rRNA from 1 species
GACGGAGGGUGCAAGCGUUGUUCGGAUUGACUGGGCGUAAAGGGCGUGUAGGCGGUUGGUCAAGUCUGAUGUGAAAGCCCGGGGCUCAGCCCCGGAAGGGCAUCGGAAACUAGCCAGCUGGAGCGCGAUAGAGGAGGGUGGAAUUCCUGGUGUAGCAGUGAAAUGCGUAGAUAUCAGGAGGAAUACCGAUGGCGAAGGCAGGUCUCUGGGCUGACACUGACGCUCAUGCACGAAAGCGUGGGGAGCAAACAGG